UACAGAGGUGGCAAGCGUUGUUCGGAAUUACUGGGCGUAAAGGGCGAGUAGGUGGCCAUCUAAGUCAGACGUGAAAUCCCCCGGCUUAACCUGGGAACUGCAUCCGAUACUGGAUGGCUUGAAUCCGGGAGAGGGAUGCAGAAUUCCAGGUGUAGCGGUGAAAUGCGUAGAUAUCUGGAGGAAUACCGGUGGCGAAGGCGGCAUCCUGGACCGGCAUUGACGCUGAUGAGCGAAAGCUAGGGGAGCAAACGGG
rnacentral:rRNA from 1 species